UGUUGUUGUUGUUGUUGUUGACGAUGCUUUCUUUUAUAUUAUUAAUCAAUUUAUUCACUUUACAUCCUGAUAACAAUCCCCCCAAAUAGCCUCUUCCCUUCUUCCUCCCCUUCUUCUCUGAGAAAGGGGAGCCCACCCUGGGUAUAACUCUAGGCCUAUGGAAGCUUUGGCUUUAAGCAGUUGUGACCUUGGCAGUGGUGCCUAUCUAUAGCCUGUGAUGGGCCAGCUUGAGUAGAACCUGACUGACUCCAUGGCAAGGUGGUCCCCUCUUACUGCCUGGUCUGUCCUUUUGCAAGUCAGGCCCGUGGCAUCUUAAACCACUUUCCCUUGAGCUUCCAAGUUGCCAGACUGUGCUUUGCUACAAAAGGAGCUACUUAAAUGUUGUAAAGAAAGGAGUAAGACCGGCAAGCUCUUACCAUGGUUUGCGCCCUUGUGAGCACGGUGCCUCAUGUUGCCUUUACUGCAGUCCUCUGCAGUGCGUGUCUGGUCACCCCAACUUCGCAGAUGAGUUUGCUGAGGUGCACAGGCACUGUGGACCUUCACCUUUCUGGUCUGUGGCCCAUAUCAAUACUGUCGUCACCUGCUCAUCCUUUUGAGUGUAUGCACGUGUUGAAUGAUGACUCUGCUCUGUAUCACGACAGCUGUCGGAGUGGAUUCCACCGCUGGCUUUCACAGUCAGCAGCAGAGAACAAACAAACUGGUAGAGGGAAUGUUCCAGCCCUACACCCUUACUCUGAGUGGUUUUGGGCAUACCAGUCUCUAGGUCUCAUGUCCCAACCCAGAAGGUGCGAUUCUACACAUCUGGGCACGCCAGAGAAUUGGUACUUGUAGAACAUUCCCAAGGGAUGCUCCUGAUAGUUCUAGAACCAGGCAUUAAGGCCUUCAUACAGAGGGGAAGGCACGUGCAAAGCUUUAAAACAGAAUGGAUUGUGGGCUGGCUCCUGCCGAGGUGUCAGGUGGAUCAGGGAGGCUACCCUGUGAAGUUCUGACUUCCUGAGCAGCCUUAUCUUUCACACACCUAUACUUUCAGGACAGUAACCUGCUCAUCAGAGAUCCCAGCUGGGCUGAGUCAUUUGUCUUUCCGCAAAGCAAAACAACAGAAGUGCCAUAGCCACAAGAAUCUAGCUCUAAAAUUCUCCUCGACCAAUCCCAUGGUUAGAGAGGGGAAGGUACUGCCAGGGCCUAGAGAAAUCCAUCCAUUGUUCCGGCUUUGGCCAGGAUGUUAAUUUUGGAGUCCGUGCCAGUUAGAAAAUUGCAGAGCACACAAUUAAACUGGUCUCGCCUCUGACUUCUGCCGUCUUUAUAAAUUAUUCCCGAUAGCCGGCGUUUAAUGCGCCUCCGCUCUUUCAGACCCUCUCCAUGACUGCUCUCUUCUUUUUUUUUUUUUCCAGCUGUGGAACAACUAUUUUCAUCUGGCAGUUGCCUUUAUCACUCAGGACUCUCUGCAGCUGGAGCAGUUCACACACGCUAAGUACAACAAAAUCCUGAAUAAGUAGGUUGCAUUCUUGAAUUGUCUGAGAGCAGGGAGCUUUGUGAAACACUCUGGAAUAGGGUUAAAAGCUGCCAUUUUUGCUCCUUGCAGGUACGGGGACAUGAGACGGCUCAUAGGAUUCUCCAUCCGUGAUAUGUGGUACAAGCUUGGUGAGUAGAGUCCCAUGCCCAGAAAGAUGCAUCUUCAUGUGUCCAAGCCCUCCUAAGACCAGCCCUCACGCUGUCUUUCCCAGCAUAUGUCAGUCUGUGCCUGUGUGAUGACCCAAAGGCCUAUGAAGUGAAGCAGGAAUUUAUGAGAGAGAGAAGGAGGCAGGGCUGGUGUGAGAACUGUUGUCAUGCAUCCCAGGAAUGCUUGCUGCUGAUUGGUGGUAGCUAUUCUACAUCCUGCUCCUUGGGUGAUGUGAUCCAUAAAAUACUUUCAAACCUCACAGGGUGGGACAACGGAUUCUCCAGGAAAUGAGUCCAGCAGCUGCCCCUGUUACAGUGAGCUGCAGGGAUGGCUUGUGGUUAUUGGUGAAGGGAGGGGUGGAAGCAGAGGGACCUUAUUGACCAUUUUGCAUGAGGUCUGACUAAAGAGAUACCAUUCAAACUUCAUAUGGCAUCCUUUAGGACCACCCCUGCUUUCUCUUAUUGAUCAGGAAACCCGAAGGAGGAGCUGUUUGUCUGAGCUCAAACAGUUGGACUCUCAGGAUGUAAUUUUCAUCCCAGGAGAACAGAAGCCAGUAAUCCUGUUUAUAGACCAAAUUUGGGGUGAAAGAUGGAUGGGUGGGUGAACUGAUGUCCACGAAGAAUGAAAACUUCCAUCUCUGACAUUUGGCUUUCUCUUGACUCCCUGGUAUACAAUUGCCCUGCCUUAGACUUAGCUGCUGGCCUUCUUCUGUAGAGGCAUUUAUAAGGGGGGUUUACCUCUCUUGGGUUUAACCUUGAUGAACAUCUCAGGGUUCGCUUCCUAUUUCCCCAGAACCUUUCAUAUCUGCUGUUCCCUGUCAGAUUUUCUGGAUAACUUUUAGAGUAAGGUGUGAUCUCUGGUAGGAGAAUGUACAGUACAAUGUGUAGAUUACCCAAUCUGAUUUAUGUGGUUAUUGGUGACAUCCCACUCCAGCUCAGACUACAUACUUGAUGAAUGGAGGUGGGGUGUCACAAGUUGGAUCACAAAGUCUAAAGCAGAGUAAAGGACCUAGGCCCUAAACAGACUGUCACAGCCCUGCCCGGAGCCUUGCUCAGUCAUGUACAAGCAAGCCUCAAGCAAGAGAAUUUAACAUCCCCUGCCCUAAGUAAAAGAAAUAACACCUUUCACAAGGUGCCUAUGAAGGUUAUUAGAGUGAAGACUGGGGUAGGUAUAGCUAUGGAGGUCUACACAUGCAUGUGGUAAUUGUUACUCCAAUUCCUGUUCUGGCCCAACAAGAUGGAACCUAAUUGUGUUGUAGUGUACUGUACGCCUUUGCCAUCAAAGUUCACUUCAGUGUAUACUAGUAAGGCCCCCAAAGUGGGCUCCAAGCAAUAACCCUAAACAGUAAAGUAAGGAGAGCUAUAUAAUCCAUAAUAUAUAAAAGUGUGGGUACUGUCAACAUUUGGAAUAGGAUAGAUAACCUUUGGUUUUCCUAGGUACUUCCACAGGACCACACUGGGGAACUGGGGCAUCUCCCUGGGCUCUAUUCCCUAGGAGGCUGGUGAUGUUCUCCCCAGCUGUAACUACUAAAACCUCUUCAGAUAUUAUGACAUCCCCCCUUGGGCAUAUCUUCUUAUUGUGUGUUUUGUCUGGCUACUUUGGAUAAGGAAAGGGCCAUCAGAAGUAAGAAAUACAGUGUUUCACUUGCCAUUUGUGUUAGUUGGCUUUUCGUAACUAUGACCAAAAUAGCCAAGGGAACAACGUGGAAAAUUCCUCCACUUGGCUCAUGGUUUCGGAGGCUUCAGUCCACCAGCCUCGGCGCUGUGGAUUUGGAGCUGUUGUGAGAUGGAACAUCAUGAGGUUCACCUCAUGAUGGAAAAUAAUUGAGUUGAGAGUGGCAAAAUAUAGGCCCACCCUAAUACAGCUACAGACCCACUUCUCCCAGCCAGACCCUGCCUCUUGAAGCCUCCAUUUCCUCC
rnacentral:lncRNA from 1 species